UAAAUACUACUCGCCGUCUAAGUCUAUUCACAAUUCCAUUGAAAUUCACAGUUAAAAUGGCGACCUGGAACAAGAUUUUCUUCGUUUGCGUGUUGGUACCCGCCUUACUGAUGGCGAUCGUCCUACCAGCAGUUACAGCGGAAGAUUCAGCGGAACAUUCAGUUAUGGUGAAGAGGGGUAUCAAUCUUGCUAAAGUUGUGAAAGUAGUCAAACCAGUAGUAAAAGCACUGGCACCUUUAUUGGCAAACAUCUAACCCGGAACAUCCGGAGCCUACGGUAUCUUUAAAUUAACCUUUGUCAAAUUUCUACAAUAAAUGUUGCGAGCGUAUACAAAA